ensembl:lncRNA
AUGUUUCUUUUUCUUCUUCUUUUCUUCUCUAUUCUUUACCUUUUUCUUUUUUUUCUUUUCUUUUCUUCUUCUUUUUUUUUUUUUAUUUCUUUUUUCCUUUGUUUUCCUUUUUUUUCUUUUCCUUUCUUUUUUUAUUCUUUUCUUCUUCUUUUCUUUUUCUUCCCUUCUUUCCUUUUGCUUUUACUUUCUCUUCCCCUUUUUGUUUUUUCUUCCCCAUUUUUUCCCUUCUCCUUUUCCUAUUCUUUUUCUUCCCUAUUAUCAUUCUUCUUCUAUUUCCUUCCCUGUAUUCUUCCCUCUUUUUUCUUCCCUCUUUUUUUCUUCCUUUUAUCUUUACUUUCCCCCUUCUGUUUCCUGUUUUUUAUUUCUCCUAUUUCUUUUCCAUUACCUUUUUUCCCUAUCUUCCCCCUUUUCUAUUCCCUUUUCUCUUUUUCUUCACUGUUUAAUUUUCAUUUCCUCUUUCUUCCCCCUUUCCUUCCCUGUUUUUUCUUGCUCUUUUUUUUUUCCUUCCCCUUUAUGUUUCCUUAUCGCUUUCUUUCUCUUUCCCUCUCUCUUUCGUAUUCCCUUUCUUCUUCACUUCCCUCUUUUCUUACUCUUCAUUCCUUUCUUUUUCUUCUUCUUCUUUUUCUUCCUUUUCUUUGCCUUCUUUUUCUUCACUUCUUUCAUUUUCCUUUUGUUCAUUUCUCCUGUUUUUGUUUUUCUUUUCUUCCCCAUUUUCUUUUCCUUCUAUUUUUUAUAUUCUUUUUCUUCCCUAUUAUCAUUUUUCUUCUUUUUUUCCCCGUUUUCUUACCUUUACCCCCCCCAAUUUUAUUUUUGUCUUCCCUCUUCUAUUUCCUUUUAUCUUUCUCCUAUUACUUUUUUUCUCUUCUUCUUUCCUUUCUUUAUAUUCUCUUCUUUUAUUCCUUCUUUUCUUUUUUCCUUUCUUUUUUCUAUCCUCUUUCCAUUUUCUCCCCUCCCCUCUCCUCAUUUCUUUUUUUUUUCCCUCUCUUCCCCUUUCUUUCCCUUUUCCUUUCUAUUUCCCUUUCCCUUUAUUUCCCUUUCCCUUCCCUUUCUCUUUUCUUCUUUUCAUUUCUUCUUUUAAUUUUUUUUUCUUCUUCGACUUCCCUUCUUUCCUUUUGCUUUUGUUUUUUCUUCCCCUAUUUUUUUCUUCCUCAUUUUCUUUCCCUUCUCCUCUCACUAUUCUUUUUCUUCCCAACUAUCAUUCUUCUUCUAUUUUCCUCCCUCUUUUCUUCCCCCUUUAUUCUUCCCCUUUUAUCUUUGCUUUCCCACUUCUCUUUCCCUUCCCUCCCCUUUCUUUCCCUUUACCCCCUUCUAUCCCUUUCCCUUCUUUUUUCUUAUUUUCUUUUCUUUUUUUUAUUCUUUUCUUUUGCUACCCUAUUUUUCUUCUCUAUUUUUUCUUCUUUUUUCUUUUUCUUUUUCUCUUCUUUUUUCUUUUUCUAUUUUCUUUUGGCUUUGCUAUUACCUUAUCCUUUUUGUUUUUCUAUAUCUUCAUUUUUUCCCUUUAUUCUAUUCUUCUUUCUCUUUUCUAUCCCUAUUAUUUUUUUCCUUUUUCAUUAA